UAAAGAAUUCUAAGUCUAAAAUAACGGUAGCUGUUAAACAAUUGAAGGCACAACACCGCCUCAUUCUGAGUGGAACACCAAUACAGAAUAAUGUGUUGGAUCUGUGGUCACUCUUCGACUUUCUUAUGCCAGGGUUUCUUGGAACUGAAAGACAAUUCCAUGCCUCCUACGGUAAACCACUACUAGCUGCCCGGGAUCCCAAAUGUGCAGCCAAGGAUGCUGAAGCAGGUGUGCUUGCUAUGGAAGCAUUGCACAAGCAGGUGAUGCCUUUUCUCCUUCGCCGGACUAAAGAUGAAGUCUUAUCUGAUCUGCCAGAG
rnacentral:misc_RNA from 1 species